rnacentral:lncRNA from 1 species
GUACUGUUAGGGUUAUUACCGUUAAUAAUGUCUAAAACUAAGAGCCCCGGUCUGGGAUGUUUGUUGCAGGGUGUUUCAUUAGGUACGGGUAGCGUUAUUACCGUUAAUAUUUCUAAACUAAGAGCCCCGGUCAUGGGAUGUUGUUGCAGGGGUUUCAUUAGGUACGGGCUAGCGGUUAUUACCGUAAUAUUUCUAAACUAAGAGCCCCGGUCAUGGAUGUUGUUGCAGGUGUUCAUUAGGUACGGGUGGUUAUUUACCGUUAAUAUUUCUAAUAAGAGCCCCGGUCUGGGAUGUU